CUUCCCGUUUGAUAUGGUUUGCCGCCGAGUGGAUUGAUCGAGGGCUUUAUGCUUCUCGCCCUACCUUUCCCAUCUCCGCUCGAUCCGAGGAAUCCCCCAAGAGAGGAAGUGAAAUGGCGACGCCCGCUCUCCCUCUCGACGACGACGACAACGAUGAAUUCGACUGGGAGGCGGCCGUUCGGGAGAUCGAUGACGCCUGCCAACUCGCCUCCGCCUCGACCUCCACCUCGAACCCGCAAGGUUUUGCCACUCCUGUCGCGACGGCGGGAGCUCCGGCUAAUUUAUGGCGACGUGGCGGUGAGGGCCGGCAGUCUACUCUAGAUAGAUUCGUUGUGGACUUUCACGGCACAAAACGCACCAGGAAUGAUGAUGGGAAUCGUUUUGGAUCCCGUGGUCGGGAGGCGAAGGAGGAGCAGAAUGUUGUUGGUGGAGAUGAACAUCUUGCUGUCGAUAUCGACCUUGAAGCUGCCAAAACCUGGAUUUAUCCUGUGAAUGUGCCUCUUCGUGAUUACCAGUUCUCUAUUGCAAGGACUGCUCUAUUUUCAAACACAUUAGUAGCAUUGCCAACAGGACUGGGUAAAACACUUAUUGCUGCUGUGGUGAUGUAUAACUACUAUAGAUGGUUUCCUGAAGGUAAAAUUGUAUUCACCGCCCCUUCACGACCUCUUGUUAUGCAACAGAUUGAAGCAUGUCAUAAUAUUGUUGGGAUACCUCAGGAGUGGACAAUUGAUAUGACAGGUCAAAUGAGCCCUCCAAAACGAUCGGCUUUCUGGAAAUCCAAGAGAGUUUUUUUUGUCACUCCACAAGUGCUAGAAAAGGACAUUCAAUCUGGCAUAUGCUUGGUGAAGCAACUUGUUUGUUUGGUGAUUGAUGAAGCGCAUCGGGCUUUGGGGAACUAUUCCUAUUCGGUCGCAGUUCGUGAGUUAAUGACUAUUCCUGUGCAGUUAAGAAUUCUCGCUUUGACAGCAACUCCUGGAUCAAAACAGCGGACGGUUCAAAAUGUCAUUGAUAAUUUGCAUAUCUCAACCAUGGAGUAUCGCAGUGAAAGUGAUCAUGAUGUAAGCCCAUAUGUGCAUAACAGGACACUCGAAUUAAUACAGGUUGCAAUGAGCGAGGACGCAAGUGUGAUUAAUAAUUUGUUGUUGGAAGGUAUACAUCCAUAUGUGGCUCGGCUUUGUACAAUUGGCGUGUUGCACAACAAGGAUGCUGCAAAAUGGAGUCCCUGUGAGUUACUUAAUUCAAGGGAUAAAUUCCGUCAAGCACCUCCAUCAAGUCUUCCACAUGUAAAAUAUGGAGAAGUAGAGGGAUGUUUUGGUGUUCUAAUUACCCUUUAUCACAUAAGGAAGUUGCUUUCGAGCCAUGGUGUGAGGCCAGCAUAUGAUAUGCUUCAAGAAAAACUGAGGCAAGGGUCAUUUGCGAGAAUGAUGUCCAAGAAUGAAACCAUCUUGAAAGCAAAACUUUUAAUGCAGCGGAGCUUGUCACAUGGUGCUCCAAAUCCGAAGUUAGUAAAAAUGACAGAAAUUCUAAUGGAUCAUUUCAAAAGAAAAGAUUUCAAGGAGUCGAGAGUGAUCAUCUUCUCCAAUUUUAGGGGGAGCGUCAGAGAUAUAAUGGACACAUUAUCUAGCAUUGGUGACCUUGUUAAAGCCACCGAGUUUGUCGGGCAAAACUCAGGUAGAACACUGAAGGGACAGUCUCAAAAAGUGCAACAAGCUGUUCUACAGAAAUUCCGAACUGGCAGUUACAAUGUGAUUGUGGCAACAUCAAUAGGUGAAGAAGGUUUAAAUAUUACGGAAGUUGAUCUUGUUAUUUGCUUUGAUGCAAAUGUUUCACCUCUGAGAAUGAUCCAGCGCAUGGGAAGGACUGGAAGGAAGCAUGAUGGGAGAGUAGUAGUUCUAGCUUGUGAAGGAUCUGAGCUUAAGGGAUACUUAAAGAAACAAGCAACCAGCAAGACUGUAAGGAAGCACAUGCAUAAUGGUGGAAUCAAUAGCUUUAACUUUCAUGAUAGCCCUAGAAUGGUUCCACAUAUUUGUAAGCCGGAAGUGCAGUUUGUUGAACUGUCAAUAGAACAAUUUAUCCCUCGGGGAAAGAAAAUAAAAGAGGAAUCAGGACAUCAAUCCCCGUUUCUGAAUAAAAUUUCAAAAGAAGAGCAUGAUCUAAUUUCUAGGUAUUUUGAUCCAUCCAAAACGGAUACCUGGAGACCAUCUCUUAUUGCCUUCCCCGGCUUCCAAACUUUCCCUUCUGCAGUACAUAUAGUAAGACACUCAUUCAAGACAACAAUGAUGUUAAUUGAUGCUAUGCAACGUCUUGAAGGACUAUCAUUUUCCAGAGCCAAGAAGGAUCUGAUGGUUGAGGUUGCCACCUCAAGUCAAUCCAUUGCUGGUAUGAUCACUUCACAGAAUAAUACUAUGCAAGAUCCCACUAAAGAUUGUACUGAUGUUCAAAAUGAUGCUCCAGAAAAUUUGUUACAAGGGAGAACUUCUGAUGUUGAAGAACCAGCUAGUGGAACUUCUAGAAGUAAAGACGGGUCUGGUGCCACCAUCUGUACGCCCCCCACUCAUAGAUUUCUUUUUGGAGGAGAUCUUGUCAAAGUAAAUGCUUUAGGUGGUGUUUCCAUCCCAAAUGUACCUGUCCUUCCACUUGAGGGCUCUGUAAUUUAUGAAAUUAUGAGGAGGAACAAGAACGAGUUUCCAAGUCAAGAAAAGAAUGAGAUCACGUCAAAAGUGUCGUCACCGGUGCAUGAUGGUUUGCCUUUUGAAAAUGUUUUAGAACUGCCAUUAAAUGCAGGAACUCAUUCACCUAACAUUGAUGUGCAACAAGAGCAUGGGAGGAUAAAUGCUAUCUCACAGACACCGGUUCCUAAGCAAAAUGCUGAACUUACAGAAGUCAAGAUUGCUGAGACACCAGGUGACCAGGAAAAAGAUAUAACUUCUACAUUGGUGGGUGAAUCUAGCAAAAUUUUUAGUUGUGUGGAGCUAAGUCCCAGACUCACUCUUUUUAUUGAGAAAGGCAUUGUUCCUGAGUCACCUAUUUCUACUUGUAAAGUAGAUAAGGUUCAUGCUGGUCUGACAUCAGAUGAGUCUGCUAGCAUGCUUCAGAACAAAUUUCUGGUUGACAGGGCACCAUCUUCAACAGUAAUGUUAGACAAUGUAUUAAAGAAUGAACUACCUGCACUAUCUUCUAAUUCUCCUAAUGUCAGCAAGCUUUUAGGUAAAAUGGACUUAUACAACACCGAGGGAAAUGUGAUUGACAUGGACAUGAAAGAAUCAGCUUCUCCUUUAGUUGCAGAAAUGCAAACUCCUUUGAUUAAUCCAGUGACUAGCACCGAUGAGUGGCAAAUGAGUUCUGGAAGUGCAUCAAAAACAAUUAUGCAAGCCCCAAAGUAUAGAAGGUUAUGCAAAUAUGGAGAGAAAGUCAAAAGGCAAUCUUGUCGGACUUUGACAGACAAGUACGAUUGCUGUGUGUCAAAAAGUACUGGACCUACUGUGUUGAGCAAACCAAAGGAAAUUGACUGUCACCAAGGUAGAAAGCAGAAGGCAAAUAAAUAUUUUGACAACUUCAUUGAAGAGGAAGCCGAGGUUUCUGAGGAUGCAGAAGUUUCCGUGGAUGAGGAAGAUGAUGAACAUGAUGACAAAUACGAGGACAGUUUCAUAGACGAUAGAACAAAUCCUACUGAAGCAAGUAGUCAGACAGAAAUUAAUGGAGGUGACAUGUUGGCCUUCUAUAGGCGCUCUCUUCUCACCCAGUCACCUAUGGAAACUCUGCCAAAAUGUUUGGUCGACUCCGUUUCUUCUAGAGCUACUGGAAGUGGAAGCUGUUCAUCAGUGAAAGUUCAUAGUUCCCUUCAGACUCCUCAAAAUGGCCUACAAUCUUCAAACCAUUCUAGUGGUAGAUAUUCUAUAUCCUGCCAAGCGGACUCUAAGCAGGGCUAUCUGACAACAAUGUGCGGUCAAGAAAGUAGCAUCCAAAGAGAAUCAUCGAGUAAAUUGGAAAGCAGAAAAAGAAAGUUAAGCUUUCAUAAUGCUUGCUCCGUACCAGCUAGAAACUUCCAGCUCGAGAGCACUGUGCAUUCAGAACCCUUGGGCAAGGAAUUUUCACACUAUCAACCUGGGAGUACCGGAAUUGGCAAUGACGUGUUCUGCGAUGAUGAGUUCUAUCAGAGUAUUGAUCUUGAUGCAGUUGAAGCACAAGCUACUGAGCUCUUAAGGUACAAGACCAGAUUACAUGUGGAUAAACCACCAGCAACAGUCCUUAAUAUUCCUGCAGAAAUCAAUGAAGUCAAUCAUCCUUCAUUUGACUUGGGAUUGUAAUUCUCGGGAGUGAUUGAUGCUUGUUUCUCCAUUUGAUGGGUACUGAAUCUUGCGGUGAUUGGUCUGGUACAAGCUUUCAGCACCCACUUUUGGCAGUCUCCACAGUUCUCGGAACACGCUAAGAAGGUUCAUGAGACCGGCCAGGAUUAAAAAUGCCUACUGCUCGAGGGCAUCGAGGGCAGCAGCCUGAACAGCUUCGAUAACUGAACAUUUUAUCUAUAGAUCAUAUCAAGCUUUCGAUAAACGGAAAUGUUUUUGGCACGGUACCAACAUGUACAGGAAAACUGGUUUGCAAAUGAGCUGGCUACACAUGGAAGCAAAAGCAGAUGACUGAUGGAUUGGGUCUUCGGGAUGUAUUAUUAUUGAGCAUGUGUCCGGUGUAUUGAAGUCUGGCAAAAGCAGGCAAAGAAGAAUUAUUUGCAUGUAGAACUUGUAAAUUAUCGACUUUGUUACAGCGAAGAAGAAUAUAAAUCACAGUCCCCAUGCAUUGAGAUUAGUGUGCAAACCCUGAUGAAUACCAUCAAAAAGUCCAACAAGCAGAGCUGGAGAUAUUAUCUAUCAUAUCUUUGCUUUCGACAUUUGGAAGUCUGACAGAGCAACAAUUCCAUUCCCACGAGGUCUAUGCCAAAGCCCGGUCACUAUUGCUUCCACCAGAAGUCAUGGAAGGAACCUUCUGAGAUCAGAGGAUAUGGUAGUUGUCGGUGGAUAAUACCUUUCAAGCUAAGAGAGAUGGGGACCAUGACUUUGGAAGUAGGUUAUGUAUUCUAUUCUAUGUGUAGCCUAAGAAGAUAAUACCCAGAAAAAGAGAAGAAGAAGACAAGGAAAAGAUUUCUAGAACUCACACGUCUACACCAGUUGGAACAGUUCCGUAACUUAUCAGCAGAUUUCCAUCUCAGUGGCAGUCAAAACUUCAGAUUUCCUUGACAGCCCGAGCUGCCUCCACAGACUUUUCCAUCAACUACCUACUUUUGAAGUGAGUAGUUAGUUAUAUGAUCGAUUUUUCGACAAGUCUUGAUAAGUGAUGCAAUGCAAAGAUUUGGUUCUCUGAGACGACCAAAAAAAAAACUGAUCCUUUUAUUUUAUUACCAUUGUGUAUGAUAAGAUCGACGACAAAAAAAAAAAAAAAACUGAUCCUUUUAUUUUA